CUCUGAUCUGGUCGAGAUGCAGUCGGCUACUGGAAACAAUCUGAUGCUCAGCAAUUUAACACUGAGGCCAGAAAGGAAAAGGACAAACUUGCUGGUUUGUUCUGUGACUGGAGGAUGUUGGGCUCUGUUAUAAUGAUGGGUUGUGCUGGUUCAUGUUCUGUGUCCGGAGUCUGACUUCUGAAUUGCCAUUGUACAGCUGUUAUGAGUGCUGAAUUCCAGACUACAAGACUGCAAUCCCUGAUGUGCCUUGAGUUCAGACAUGGGUAGUUCCAGGAUCUCGGGCAUUAAUUGGAGUUUACUGUCCUCACUGAAGAUUGUGGCAGUUCUGGGUUGCAGAGUUAUUCAGGUGUCAUGAGGCUGAGAAGGGAUGUUACUAAGAUGUUCCCUCCGUUAUGCAACUAAGCCUAGAUGGACUCAAGGUUCUGCCUUCCAGACCAGUAAUUUGAAAAUAUUUGCUGUGGACAGUGAAGUCUAAAGAACCCCCUCAACCAGCAGUGAUGUCUUGCUGUGGUUGGAACAUUGCUGGCCAUUUCAACACUUUUAACCUUAAACAUGGAUUUCUAACAUUUCCAUGUUUUCUUUUGUGGUAAAUUAAUGUGAGUUAGUAGUGAACUUACAGCACUGGUGUGUUUGAUGGGUCAAUAUUGCUGUAAAUGUUGAUGCAAAUUUUUGUCUUUGUCGCCAUCUGCAUGCUGUUCUGUAGGACACAAUUGGAUGUUGAUGGAAUGACUUAAAUAUUAGCUACAGCUGAUGCGUAAGUGGAGUAAUGUCUGCAUACAUUUAUCAAUCUUGAGCUGCCUGGCAAGGGUGUUGUAAUGCUGCUGCUCUAUGAAGUGUAUAGUUAAAAUGAAAUGAUUAGGGGUGAAAACAGUCAUUGUUCUGGAGCAUGUGGAUAUGCUACUUGUCUAAACAAGAAUAAAACAUUGUCAUAAUAUGGA
ensembl:lncRNA